rnacentral:tRNA from 1 species
UGGGGAGUCGUCUAGUGGUAGGACGGUGGACUUUGGAUCCACAAGCAGAGGUUCGAGUCCUCUCUCCCCAGCCA